UGGAGGACCGAACACACGUAUGAUGCAAUAUGCGGUGAUGACCUGUGAAUAGCGGAGAAAUUCCAGUCGAGCUUGGAAAUAGCUGGUUCUCCCCGAAAUAGGUUUAGGCCUAGCCUUCUAUUUAGCUUCUUGGAGGUAGAGCACUGAAUAUGGAAGGGCCGCACAUAGCGGUACUAACUGUAAUCAAACUCCGAAUGCCAAGAAAGUAUAUAGAGGAGUCAGUGUAUGGGUGAUAACGUCCAUACGCGAGAGAAAAAGAAUUCAGACCGCCGAUUAAGGUCCCAAAAUUUCUACUAAGUGGGAAAGGAUGUGGAGUUGUCAAAACAGCUAGGAGGUUGGCUUAGAAGCAGCCACCCUUUAAAGAGUGCGUAAUAGCUCACUAGUCGAGUGACACUGCGCCGAAGAUGUACCGGGGCUAAGUAGAAUACCGAAAUCGCGGAUUUAAUACUAUGUAUUAAGUGGUAGGGGAGCGUUCCAUGCGCGCUGAAGGUAGACCGUGAGGACUACUGGAGUACAUGGAAGUGAGAAUGCCGGUGUGAGUAGCGCAAGGGAGGUGAGAAUCCUCCCCACCGUUUGACUAAGGUUUCCUGGACAAGGUUCGUCCUUCCAGGGUAAGUCGGGUACUAAGGCGAGGCCGAAAGGCGUAGUCGAUGUCCAACAGGUUGAUAUUCCUGUACCAGCUAUAUGACUGAUGGAGUGACGGAGAAAGCUAAGAAGGGCCAGUUAUUGGAUUCUGGUAUAAGCACAUAGGUUAGUAUAUAGGCAAAUCCGUAUACAGAUUAACUGAAGUGUUAUGUUGACGGAAAUCCUCGGAUUUCUUAAAUCUUCUGAUGCUAUGCUUCCAAGAAAAGCUUCUAGGGCUAAUUACGUAGGUGCCCGUACCGAGAACCGACACAGGUGGUCAAGGAGAGUAUCCUAAGGUGAGCGAGAGAACUAUGGUUAAGGAACUCGGCAAAAUAACCCCGUAACUUCGGGAGAAGGGGAGCCUAAGUAAAAUUAGGUCGCAGAGAAAAGGCCCAAGCAACUGUUUAACAAAAACACAGGUUUCUGCUAAAUCGAAAGAUGAAGUAUAGGAGCUGACGCCUGCCCAGUGCUGGAAGGUCAAGGGGAGAUGUUAGGAGAAAUUCGAAGCAUAGAACCAAAGCCCCAGUGAACGGCGGCCGUAACUAUAACGGUCCUAAGGUAGCGAAAUUCCUUGUCAGGUAAGUUCUGACCCGCACGAAAGGCGUAAUGAUUUGGGCACUGUCUCGACAAUGUACCCGGCGAAAUUGUAGUACUAGUGAAGAUGCUAGUUACCUGCGACAAGACAGAAAGACCCCAUGGAGCUUUACUGUAGUUUGAUAUUGGGUUUUGGUAAUUUAUGUACAGGAUAGGUGGGAGACAGAGAAGGAUGUGCGUCAGCAUAUCUGGAGUCAACGUUGGGAUACCACUCUUAAGUUAUUGAAAUUCUAACUUGUGAUCAUAAACUGGUCAGAGGACAAUGUCAGACGGGCAGUUUGACUGGGGCGGUCGCCUCCAAAAGAGUAACGGAGGCGCCCAAAGGUUCCCUCAGUGCGGACAGAAAUCGCACAAAAGAGUGUAAAGGCAGAAGGGAGCUUAACUGGAAGAUAGACAUAUCGAGCAGAUACGAAAGUAGGGCUUAGUGAUCCGGUGGAAUUGAAUGGAAAAGCCAUCGCUCAACGGACAAAAGUUACCCUGGGGAUAACAGGCUUAUCUCCCCCAAGAGUUCACAUCGACGGGGAGGUUUGGCACCUCGAUGUCGGCUCAUCGCAUCCUGGGGCUG
rnacentral:rRNA from 1 species